CAACAGUUUACUAUACAGGUAACACAGCCACGCCCAGUACCAACAGUUUACUAUACAGGUAACACAGCCACGCCCAGUACCAACAGUUUACUAUACAGGUAACACAGCCACGCCCAGUACCAACAGUUGACUAUACAGGUAACACAGCCACGCCCAGUACCAACAGUUUACUAUACAGGUAACACAGCCACACCCAGUACCAACAGUUUACUAUACAGGUAACACAGCCACGCCCAGUACCAACAGUUUACUAUACAGGUAACACAGCCACGCCCAGUACCAACAGUUUACUAUACAGGUAACACAGCCACGCCCAGUACCAACAGUUUACUAUACAGGUAACACAGCCACGCCCAGUACCAACAGUUUACUAUACAGGUAACACAGCCACACCCAGUACCAACAGUUUACUAUACAGGUAACACAGCCACACCCAGUACAAACAGUUAAAUAUACACGUACAGUUGAAGUCGGAAGUUUAGGUCAGAGUCAUUAAAACUUGUUUUCCAACCACUUCCCAAAUAUCUUGU